UACUAUAUCUGUGAUGUAUGAUAUAGUUAAGUCUAACUUCUUCAAUAGUAUUCACACCAUACAUAUCACAUUACAAAGUAGCACUCUUUUGUUGCUGCUGCAACUAGUACUACUGCAGUAGCAGCAACGUGUUAACAUGCUAUUCUAAAUUUCUCCCUACGUAGAUGUUACUGCUGCACAGUUGUUAUUGUGCAUAUGCAGCUGUGCAGGACAGCAGUUUAUACACAUGUCACAGAAGUUUUGUGAUAUGUAAAACACAUUAACUAUCUCUCUUAGCUCUUUCUGUCUCUCUCAUUAUUAUGAGACAUUUCUCUCUGAGAACUUAGCGUCUCACUUUACAAAGUGAAACAUCUGCAACUAUCUCACCAACAUCUCUCUCUUUUGCUUUCCUGUUUAUUUUGAAACAAACAGUUGAUUCUUAAAGUUUAUAUGUAUUUAUAUAUAUAUAUAUAUGUACAGAUGUAUGUAUACAUGAAUGAUAAGAAUUUUCAAUUAUUUGUAUGUGUAUAUUGAGUUAGGACUUGCAUGUGUGUUAUAGCAUACAUAUUUAUGUGUGUUUCAAAGAAGCUAAUUUUGUGUGUGUGUGUGUGUGUGUGUGUGUAUUCAGCAGGUUUAUAAUUUACUUUGUAAAAUGCUGUUUUUGGUGUGACAUUAACAAUUUCUCAGUGAGUCUUUUCUUUAAAAUGGUCAUUAGAUACAUUAUAUAACAUAGCUGACCGAAUGACUUUUGUGUGAGUUAUUCUAGAGCCAGUGUGAGAGCCACUGUGUUAUAAUUCUACCUGUUAGAAAUAGCAGCCGAAUCUCCUGCAAAUCACAGCUUACUGUCUUUUAGAGGAAGGUAUAUGCAUUGUAUGGUGUAGUCAGAAUAUAAGACAGGGUGGUUAUGGCUAGGACAGCUUUGAUUUUAGAUCCCAGUCAAGCCUGACUUGGAGGUUGAACAACAACGACAACUUUAUAGGGAACACACACUAAAUGGAUGAAGCUAUCAAGUGAAGAGCGUCUUCUUUGAAUUGCAGCAGUGUUAUACAGAGAAUCACUAUUCUUGGCUAUAUAAAAUAUAGAAGGUUUUUCUGCCACACCCUGUAGUUUAGAGCAGGAGAUCUAAAAUACCCGUAAUCAUAUUGUUUUUUAACAACUUGCCAAUCUCUUAAGAUUUUUAAGAUUUUCUUGUUUUGUUUUUUUUUAGCACUUAGUUAUGAAUGGUUCUGUUAAAAUACACUGCAUUUGUUUCAGUUAAUUUUGAAAAUGAAUCUAAUAAAAUAACUUUGGCACUAUUAAAAUGAUAUUUGAGCCAUGAAUUAGAAUGAAACUUUAAUGGCAAAUUUUUUAUUGAGAUCACUUUUAAACAGGAAGUUUGGAUCAUAGAACCAGGAGCAGUCUCGGGGGUGGGGUGGUAUGAAAAGGGUUAGUCUAUCACUCUAAACAUACACAUACAUACAAACACACAUAUAUGCAUUAGAACUGUGGUGUCUGUCUCAUUCCUUAAUCUAAACCUCCAUGUCUAUAAAACAGGAAAGUAAGAUGAUAAAACCAUACAACUAAAUCUAUUUUAUUGAGAUGAUAACUUGAUAUGUUUUGUUUCUUUGCUUUGUUACAACAUAAGCAGAAUCAUAACAUCUUGUAGUACUCUUCAAUGUAUUACUUGCUUUUCAUUUAAUUUGUUGCUCUCGCAGCUUUAAUCAAAGUAAAAUAAGUAAAAGGCAUUUUACUGGGAUGUUUUUUUUUUCUGUUUUUGUUAGAAACAUACUAUCAGUUGGACUUUAAAAUAUACUGCUGGCUGUAUUACUUUUCAUCUCUACUUACAUUUCUACACAAAUGUAUACGCACAUUUUCCACUGUCUUUUUAUAUAUCAUAUAUGUAUAUAUGGAUAUGUAUUUGUAUAUAAGUGUGUGUGUGUGUUUGUGUGUAUAUAUAUAUGUACAUAUGUAUGUAUAUAUAUACAUGUAUAUGUUUG
rnacentral:lncRNA from 1 species